AGUGAACGCUGGCGGUAGGCCUAACACAUGCAAGUCGAACGGCAGCACAGUAAGAGCUUGCUCUUACGGGUGGCGAGUGGCGGACGGGUGAGGAAUACAUCGGAAUCUACUUUUUCGUGGGGAUAACGUAGGGAAACUUACGCUAAUACCGCAUACGACCUACGGGUGAAAGCAGGGGAUCUUCGGACCUUGCGCGAUUGAAUGAGCCGAUGUCGGAUUAGCUAGUUGGCGGGGUAAAGGCCCACCAAGGCGACGAUCCGUAGCUGGUCUGAGAGGAUGAUCACCCACAGUGGAAUGGAGACACGGCCCAGCCUCCGAGGGGGGGCAGCAGGGGGGAAUAGUGGACAAGGGGCGCAAGCUUGACCCACCUAUACCGGGGGGGUGAAAAGGGCUUUUGGUUUGUAAGGCCGUUUUGUGGGAAAAAAAAAGCAGGAGUUUACACCCCCGUUGUUCUGAGGGUACCAAAAAAAAAACCCCCGGCAAAUUUCGGC
rnacentral:rRNA from 1 species